rnacentral:rRNA from 1 species
CACCGCGGUUAUACGAGAGACCUAGGUUGACAGCCUUCGGCGUAAAGAGUGGUUAAGACAAAUUAAAAACUAAAGCCAAAUGACUUCAAAGCUGUUAUACGCACAUGAAAGUACGAAGCCCGAUCACGAAAGUGGCUUUAAUACUCUGACCCCACGAAAGCUAUGAUA